rnacentral:rRNA from 2 species
GUGAACUUGGUGUCAGUAGGCUGUGUAAUGUGAAGGGUGGAAGUGUUAGUCGUAAGUAAUGGGCGUAAAGCUUGUGUGGGUGGGUUGUUAAUGUGGAUGUGGAAGCCCUUGGCUCAACCUGGGAAGGGCAUUGGAUACUGGCAGGCUAGAGUGCGGUAGAGGGUAGUGUAAUUCCCGGUGUAGCAGUGAAAUGCGUAGAUAUCGGAAGGAACAUCUGUGGCGAAGGCGACUACCUGGACCAGCACUGACACUGAGGCACGAAAGCGUGGGGAGCAAACAGGAUUAGAUACCCGUGUAGUC